AGACCCGAAACCCGGUGAUCUAGCCAUGGGCAGGUUGAAGGUUGGGUAACACUAACUGGAGGACCGAACCGACUAAUGUUGAAAAAUUAGCGGAUGACUUGUGGCUGGGGGUGAAAGGCCAAUCAAACCGGGAGAUAGCUGGUUCUCCCCGAAAGCUAUUUAGGUAGCGCCUCGUGAAUUCAUCUCCGGGGGUAGAGCACUGUUUCGGCAAGGGGGUCAUCCCGACUUACCAACCCGAUGCAAACUGCGAAUACCGGAGAAUGUUAUCACGGGAGACACACGGCGGGUGCUAACGUCCGUCGUGAAGAGGGAAACAACCCAGACCGCCAGCUAAGGUCCCAAAGUCAUGGUUAAGUGGGAAACGAUGUGGGAAGGCCCAGACAGCCAGGAUGUUGGCUUAGAAGCAGCCAUCAUUUAAAGAAAGCGUAAUAGCUCACUGGUCGAGUCGGCCUGCGCGGAAGAUGUAACGGGGCUAAACCAUGCACCGAAGCUGCGGCAGCGACACUGUGUGUUGUUGGGUAGGGGAGCGUUCUGUAAGCCUGUGAAGGUGUGCUGUGAGGCAUGCUGGAGGUAUCAGAAGUGCGAAUGCUGACAUAAG
rnacentral:rRNA from 1 species